rnacentral:sRNA from 1 species
UUUUGGUUUACUAGUGUAGAAAAUUUCGGAUUACAAAGAACACCCAUUGUGAAACAAAAUGUUCAAAAAAUUGUUUAAAAAAUCCUUAAGCGCAGCGAAACCCAUUAAAGAAAAACAAAUACUGCAAUAUACCAUUGCCAAGAAGAAGUGUCAGUGUAAACCCAAAGAAUGCCGUUGUUCCACCAAGCAAACGCAAAAACUAAAAAUGCUGACAAAACAGAGGAUACCCAUGUACUUGGAGGGCAUUUCAGUUUAAUUAGAUUAUAUUUCGUCAACUCAGAUUUAGAAGUAAAUAAAAAGUGUAAGAGAUUUCAAUGAAAAGAAGAAA